GUUAUGCUCAGUGGUAGAGUGCUCGCCUCACUCAUGCAAUGACCUGGGUUCGAUCCUCAGCACAACA
rnacentral:tRNA from 1 species